GAUCUGGCUCAGGAUGAACGCUAGCGGCAGGCUUAACACAUGCAAGUCGAGGGGCAGCGGGGUGUAGCAAUACACUGCCGGCGACCGGCGCACGGGUGCGUAACGCGUAUGCAACCUACCCAUAACAGGGGCAUAACACUGAGAAAUUGGUACUAAUUCCCCAUAACAUUCGAAGAGGCGUCUCUUUGGGUUGAAAACUCCGGUGGUUAUGGAUGGGCAUGCGUUGUAUUAGCUAGUUGGUG
rnacentral:rRNA from 1 species